rnacentral:rRNA from 1 species
GAUGAACGCUGGCGGCGUGCCUAAUACAUGCAAGUCGAGCGAACAGACGAGGAGCUUGCUCCUCUGACGUUAGCGGCGGACGGGUGAGUAACACGUGGAUAACCUACAUAUAAGACUGGGAUAACUUCGGGAAACCGGAGCUAAUACCGGAUAAUAUAUUGAACCGCAUGGUUCAAUAGUGAAAGACGGUUUUGCUGUCACUUAUAGAUGGAUCCGCGCCGCAUUAGCUAGUUGGUAAGGUAACGGCUUACCAAGGCAACGAUGCGUAGCCGACCUGAGAGGGGGAUCGGCCACACUGGAACUGAGACACGGUCCAGACUCCUACGGGAGGCAGCAGUAGGGAAUCUUCCGCAAUGGGCGAAAGCCUGACGGAGCAACGCCGCGUGAGUGAUGAAGGUCUUCGGAUCGUAAAACUCUGUUAUUAGGGAAGAACAAAUGUGUAAGUAACUAUGCACGUCUUGACGGUACCUAAUCAGAAAGCCACGGCUAACUACGUG